UGAACGCUGGCUUGCUUCUGUGUGGAAGACUUGUGAUUUUGUUGUUGUUAGUUAGAUGAAGUGACAACAAAUCACGGUCUGCCCUACAGCACAGGCCCAGCAUC
ensembl:miRNA dre-mir-7ba microRNA 7-1